UACGUAGGGUGCAGGCGUUAAUCGGAAUUACUGGGCGUAAAGCGUGCGCAGGCGGUUUGCUAAGACAGGUGUGAAAUCCCCGGGCUUAACCUGGGAACUGCGCUUGUAACUGGCAAGCUAGAGUGUGGCAGAGGGGGGUGGAAUUCCACGUGUAGCAGUGAAAUGCGUAGAGAUGUGGAGGAACACCGAUGGCGAAGGCAGCCCCCUGGGCUAACACUGACGCUCAUGCACGAAAGCGUGGGGAGCAAACAGG
rnacentral:rRNA from 2 species